UGUUCUGUUGUGCCACUUGCAAUGUAUGCUUUGGAGAUUCUUUGACUGUUUCUUGCUUUCCUUGAGCUCUCUUGGAGCCAGUGUGUGAUUAGCUUGGAAAGACCACAGUUUCUCAUUGGUGCCUGUAGGGACAGUGUUCAGGUAGGUUCCCUACGUGUGAUUCUUUGGGUCUCCUUGCCUCAACUCAGACUGCCUUGAAAAUAAGAAGCUCACGUUGCUGCUGGAACUGAAAACACAUUGUGUCCCUAGGGUGAUGUAUGUUGGAUCAUGGCUGAUCAGCGGCUGUUAGCUUAGGUGAUGAGAGCAUAAUGCUAAUGAGUCCAAGGUCAUAGCGUCAGGCUCUGGGCACAGUAACAUGACCUGGUCCCAAGGCUGCAGGCUGCUCACCUAAUCCUGACCAGCUGUCUCGUCCAUUCUCACCACUGGUCACAAGAGUAACAACUUGAGAGCCCCUGUGUCAGAGAGACUGUGGAUGGAUGAGUGUAAAUCCAUUCCCACUGCUAGAAAAGCAGCUCAAAGCAGGUGGCUUACUGCCAGGGGUGGGGGUGGAGCAGUGGCUUGUCGUGCUGUGAUUUUUUUUUAUUUAAUACAAUAAAUGUGUUGUGCUUACUGUGUCUUGGUUUGGUUUUUAUAGAAAAUUGAGACCUGCAAGUUGAACCUUUCUCCUGUUGUUUGAUUGGCUAAAAUCUACUUGUUAAUGCCAUUAUUCACUCAGUAAUGGUUGGCUGUGUUGCACUGAGAAAAGAUAGGGAGUGCACUCUGGGUUUUCCUUGGUUAUAUUUCUAUUUGGAAAUCUUAAUUAUUAACAGUGAAUAUGCUUGACUAAGGAUGGGAAAAUAAGCUCAUCAAAACAUGUGACUUUGAGUUUUUCCCUAUUAGUCAAGGAACUUUCUGCUGCCAAUUAAUUUCCAUGCUUUUGAGCAGCUGUCAUUUGUGGUGUUUUCCCUGAAAACUGCACACAUUCUUAGUAAAAUCCAUGAGUAGAAAAGAACUGACCAGAACAUUUGCUUUUGAUCUUUACUACAUGCAUAUACUUUUAAAAAGCUGGCUGGCUCGCCUUAAUCCUUGAGGAGGUCUGAGAAAGUCAUUUAGACUGAUUUUUAUCCUAUAUUUAUGAAGAUAAUGGGAAUGUAGAAACCAGGAUAAUUAUAUAUAUUUGGUUAUAUGCAUCAUAUAAUUGUCUUGGAUGUCUAUAUAUAGAAUUUGUCUUAACAGGGGGGCUUCUUUGGUCCCUUUGAAGAGUCUGCUGGACUUAAUUUCAGCAGAAUUAUUGGUGAAGAAAGGAUUGUUCAUUAAAUGUUUCUCAUUUGUACACAGUUUUGAGGGGCCAUGUUUAUUUGGGAGUUUUUGGAGCUUUAUGAGAGUUGCAGUUUCUCAGGGCGUGUUUGCUAACAGUUCCAAGUUCUGGCCUGAGGGAACCACAGGCAGAGUGCUUUUCAUACGGAGGACCUUGUUUUCUAUAGCUCCUUCCUGACAUUAGUCUGCCAGAACCAGAGUCUGCUGACCUGCAGGCCAUUCUAUAAAGUGUUUCUUUUCAAGUGUGCAUGCCCAAGCAGUUCAGGGGCGAGGAAUGUGGUGACCUGAAGCUCUGGAGUUUCAGAGUCAUCAGUAGAGAGACCUAUCUAGUGCUUCUGCCAAAACUGAAGUGGAGCCAUGCACUGUGCUUUAUACACAUGAUAUCAGUAAAUCCUGUCAACAACUCUAUAAAACCUUUACUGUGGCCUUCUUUUGAGUUCCAAAGAAUUGAGACUAUUAUCUAGCUACAUGCCAGACUGCAGUUGUGGAAGUCAUUCUUUCAAAAGCCUGUGGAUGAAGCAAUAUUUUAGAGGGGAAAUAUGAUAUAUCUCUGGAAAGAGAAGUAAGAAACUGUUCCCCUAUUCCUAAAUUGGUUGCACUAAACAAAACAGGCCAUACCAUGAUGCCAGGGCACUGGGAGGGGUUUCCCUUAGCAGCUGGCUACAGCUGCUGUUUCUACCAAAAUUCUUCUCUUUUUAAUAAAAGCAUCCACAAAACACAUUUGUGAGUCUCUCAUUCACCCUGGCGACUUUGUAGCUGCAGCUUGACUCCAGGAGAAUCCAUUACACCUGUGUUUCCUUUGCUAUUUCGUCUGAACAGAGGGGACAACAUGCCUUGACUCUAGCCUUCUUUGGCAUUUGGAGCACUUACUGGUCUGGAUGCUGUCUGACAUCAUGACUGCAGGUGGCACAGGGGAGCUCUGUAAAGGAGAAACACAGUGACAAUGACACGAAUGUCUGUGCGUUGCCUGUUCCAUCCGAGCGUUCAUAUUGUUGAAGAGCAACAUUAGGAGGGUGACUUCAUGGCCCACACAAGGGUCACGUUGAACUUUUUUUUUUUUUUUUAAGAUUUAUUUUAUUUAUUUGAAAGAGCCACAGAGAGAGGUAGAGACAGAGAGAAGGGUCCUCCGUCUGCUGGUUCACUCCCCAGAUGACUGCAACAGCUGGAGCUGUGCUGAUCCAAAGCCAGGAGCCAGGAGCUUCCUCCGGGACUCCCACAUGGGUGCAGGGGCCCAAGCAUUUGGGCCAUCUUCCACUUCCUUCCCAAUCCACAGCAGAGAGCUGGAUCAGAAGAGGAGCAGCCGGACUAGAACCGGCGCCCAUAUGGGAUGCCGGCGCUCCAGGCCAGGGCCUUAACCCACUGCACCACAGCGUCGGUCCCUCACAUUUAACUUUUAAAAUUGGAGAUGGACUGCUUCCACCAGGUGAACUGACUGAACAAAAGGCCACUUUUAUAUUUUCCAAGGUUCUGAAGGGGAAAAGGCACUAAUCAUUAAAAGUGUUAUGCCGCGUUCUAACAAAAACAUGAGCGAAUUCGUUUGUAACCUGAAAGUGAAAGAAACUCCUGUUUUUAAAACCCAGAACCAACAGAAGGGCCACAGUCAAAGGGACUCAGGGGCCAAAUUUAUCCAAAUUAUAUCACAUGACUGCAGAAUACUUCUGCAUGUUAAAAACAAAAUAAGCAGAGCAGGUAACUCAACAGGGAAAAAAAUCUACAAUUACACCACAGAAAAAUAAUGGCUGGAAAAAAAAUAGGGCAAAGAAAACCCCUUAACUGCCAUGCAGAAAGUUGAGCUAGAGCUAUGAACAGUUCACAGGAAAAGAGAUGCAGACGAAUCUCAAACCUAUGACAAGAUGCUCACCUCGGCUCAUGAAAGGAGAAAUACAAACUAAACUGCACUGAGUUACCAUUUCCUACCUAUCACAUUGGCAUAGAUCCAAGAUAAUGCGAUAACAGCAUAUGUUUCAUGGCUUGAUCUGUUGGUGGAGCCUCAGGGAGAGAGGCUUCACACACUGCAAGUGGUUUAACCUCCAGCAUGGGGAAUCUACCAUAUCUAGCAAGGUAAGGUAGGCCUUUGAUCUUGGAUUCUAGGAAUUUAUUCUAAAGAUAUGUUUACAAAAAAAAAUAUUGUCUAUUGUGGAAUAAAGCAAAUGAGUAAUUAUUUUAGGGUCUUUUAGAACCAAGAUUUGAGGCAUAGGAGACAGGAGAUAUGAAUGUAAAACAGAUGAGGUUGGGUCCGGCGUUGUGGUGUAGUGGGUAAGACCGCUGCCUGAAGUGCUGGCAUCCCAUAUGGGCACCGGUUCGGGUCCCAGCUGCUACACUUUCAUUCAAGCUCUCUGCUGUGGCCUGGAAAAGCAGUAGAAGAUGACCCAAGUCCUUGGGCCCCUGCGCCUGCAUGGGAGACCCAGAGAAGGCUCCUGGCUCUGGCUUCGGAUGGGUGCAGCUCCAGCUCUGUUGUGGCCAUCUGGGGAGUGGACCAGCGGAUGGAAUAUACCCCCUCCCCUUUCCUCUCCCUAUGUAACUCUGACUUUCAAAUGAAUAAAUAAAUCUUAAAAAAAAAAAAAAAACAGAUGAGGUUAUGUAAAAAACUCUGUUGUUGUGUAUGUGAAUAUGAAGUGUUUGGUUGAACUCAUCAUGAAGUUCAUUUAUUUGAAGAGUAUUUCCUACCUGCAUCUACUGAAAAGCCAAGGAACAGUGUCCAAAAUCCAGUAGCAUCCAGAAUCUAAUGCGUAUCCCCAGCAUUCAGUUUGUUUUCUCUCUUUUUUUUUAAGUAAAAAUUUUAAAAGUGUUUAUUUUUCCAUCUACUUGGAAAGCAGAGUGAUAGUGAGAACAAGAAAGAUAUCUUCCAUCCCAAAUGGCCCCAAACUCCAUCAGGGUUCCCAUGUGGGUGGCAGGGCCCAAGUACUGAAGCCAUCACCUGCUGCCUCCCGGGAUACAUUAACAGGAAGCUGGAUGGGAAGCAGAGGAGCCGGGACUUGAUGCUAAUACGGGAUGCAGGAGUCCCAAGCCGUGGCUCAGCCUGCUGAACCACAUGCCUGCUUCUGCUGGUUCCAAAAUACCAUUUCUCACAGAAAGGAUUAGGACUUGUUGGGGACAAACGUGGGUCAGGAAAUACACUACUUGUAUCUACAACUUUGUAUCACACUGGAAAGCAAAGAAGCUGUCAAAGAUUCCAAAGGCUGCAGUCAGAGGACUGAGGGACCAAACUGAAGAGAUUUCCCCUGGGACCAUUUCUGUGUCAGUAAGACAAGAACUGGGAAUGGUCCGCUUGUGGCGCCGGCACCCUAUAUGGGCACCAGUUCAUGUCCUGGCUCCUCCUCUUCCAGUCUAGCUCUCUGCUGAUGGCCUGGGAAAGCAGAAGAUGGCCCAAGUCCUUGGGCGCCUGCACCUAUCUGGGAGACUGGAAGAAGCUCCUGGCUGCUAGCUUUGGAUUGGCCCACCUCUGGCUGUUCUGGCCAUCUGAGGUGUUAACCAGCAGAUAGAAGACUCUCCCUCUCUGCCUCUCUCUGUCUGUAACUCUGCCUCUCAAAUAAAUAAGUAACAACGUUAAUAAAAAGAACUGUAUUUGAAAUAUAUCAAAUAUGUUUAGGUCUCCGAGUUCAUAACAGUAAGCAUCAGCUCAUGUAAUCAGUCACUUUUUAAGGAUAUCAGAGAAUUAACUCAUUAUUUUGAAAACUGGUAAGUAAAGAGUCAAGUGUUUAUUCUGUCUUUGUUGUACACUCUGCAUCUCAGCAUAAUCAGACUGUAAAAAGGGGAGUUUCUCUUUGUAAAGGUAUUUCCAUAAUAAAAAAAUAAGAAAUGAUGAUAAAAUGAAUGUGUUAUCUUUUUACUAUCCCUAAUUAAUUACAAUUUAGGCAAUGAUCAUUUUAUACUACUUACUGGGAAUAUGUUACACCUUUUGAAAUAUUCUUGCCCAGAUAAAACCAAUCUAAAUCUGAUCAAGCCUCUCUAUCUGAUUACCAACUUACAGGAAAUGCAGAAGAUGGAGAAACAAAUUAAAUGACACCACAGGAAUACAGUGGGUAGGGAUAUCUGGUAGGUAAUAGAUAGUCAGGAACAUCUGAUUAGCAACUUACAGGAAAUACAGAAAAACAAAUUAAAUGACAGUACAGGAAUAUAAUGAGCAAAAUCCAGGCAAUCUUAAGCUCUAGAAGACGAACAACCCAGUUUCUUCAUCACAAGAAUUACCAGGGAAGGAGAAUAGGGGGAACCUGAAAGAAACUGAAAAUUACUCAUCAAUUAUAAUGCGUGGACUUUAUUUGUAUCCAAUUUGGACAGACCAGUUAUAAACAUUUAUGAAAUAAAGAGAACACUGAGUGGAUAGUUAAUGAUAUUGAGGAAUUAUUAAAUUAUUUAACAUAUGAUAAUGGUGGUGUGGUUUUGUUUUUGUGUUUUUUUUUUUUCAUUUUUAAAAAAGGUUUAAGAUCAUAAAUAGGUCAUUGUUAUAACACAUUUUGGAUUUUUUAAAAAAACAAACUUUUUUUUUGUUCUUUUCAUUUUUUAAAAAACGUGGUGUGGUUUUGUUUUAAAAUGAGUCCUGGGCCAGCAUUCUGACAUAGCAGGUUUAGCUGCUGGUUGCGACACGGGCAUCUUAUAUGAGCGUCAGCUGGAGUCCAGCUGCUCCUCUUCCAAUUUAACUCCUUGCUGAUGUACUCGGAAAGGUAGUGGCAGAUGGCUCAAGUCUGUGGGCCCCUGAUACCUAAGUGGGAGACUUGGAUGGAGUUCUGGGCUUCUGGCUUCAGCCUGGCCCACGCCUGGUUGUUGGGGCCAUUUGGGGAGUGAACCAGAUUAUAGGAGAUUUAUUUUUGUCUCUAUCUCUCCCUCUCUCUCUGUCACUCUGCCUUUCAAAUAAAUAAAUAAAUAAACAUUUAAACAAACAAGCAAGUCUUUAUCUUUUAAAGCUACAUACUAAAAUAUUUGAGAAAGGUAAGACAAAAUGUUGGAUUGAAGUGCGUUGAGCGUUAGAGGUAGAAAUUCAUAUUUGAGCCGAUGGACAGUGAGUUAUUACAGGUUCUUGAGAAAGAAGGAAGCACAAUAAAAUGAUAGCAAGUCUAGAAGUAAACCCACAAAUAUAUGGUGGAUUGAUUUUUAACAGAAACACCAAGCAAAUUCAUGAGGGUAAAGGACAGUCCUUUCAACAAAUAUUUCUGGAACCCGGGGCUUCUCCUCCUCUGUUGUGUGUAAAUGAGUGAGUUGAAUAGGUUGGAUGAAUAAGAGAAGCACCACAGGAUGUACAGAAGGCACCUCCCCACCCCCAAUACACACACACCCACAUGAAUGCUUUUGACUCCUCACUAAGGAUUGAUGUGGUCAGGGCUUUGCUUUGGCUCAACUCUUCUCUGACCUAUGGCCACCCUUUGUCUGUGCCUUGAUACCCUUGGACAGUGUUUUCUUUCACUCUGUACAUCACAAGGAACAAUCAGGGUGCUGGGGAGAAUCUAGUGAUUGGUGGAAAAGGACACAAGAAAUUUUCAACCUUCAAAUAGGAACUCCUAUUUUUUCUUCCCUUUAAAAUUAGUCUGCCAUGCUCAAAUGAUCUCACUCUGGUUUCCUGCAUGUUCAGUGACUUAAAGGUGCAAGCCUCUCUGAGAGGCCUUUCUCUAUCUCUUUCUGUUUAAACUAGCAAAUGCUGGAGCUUUUUUUCUUUCUCGUUGCUUUGAUUGAAGUUGUUAUCUGUAAAAUUCCAAAGAGCGGGUGAGUGGAGGGAGUAGCGGGCCAAUGGGAUUCUUUAUUUAUGGCUAGUCACAGUGUCUCCUCCAGAUGAUAGGUUCAAAGGCUCCUUUGAUCAAUUAAUUGAUGUUUCAGUGUGCUUUCUAGACUUUUCUGCCAUUUUUUGGUCUUGUUCUGUCCCUUCUAUCCUAACCCCCAAGUCAGUCCUUGAACAGAGAUCUGAAGUCAGAAAUAUAAUGGUACAGAAAAUAAUGCCUGAGUCAUCUAGGUAAAGGUACUACUUCUUCUAACCUGUAUAUCUGGGGUAUUUGUUUUUUUCCCCAUGGAGCUGCUCACUCAGACCUGGUAAAUUAUAUGAACCCACAGACAUGUAUUGAAUAGUCACUUAGUACCAGAAACUCUUGGUACUGGAGAUGUAAGAUAAAUACCAAAUCUGUGCCCCAGGAGAAGUCAUGGUCUUGGGAGACAGAGAACUGUGAUCUUAGGGCCUCCGUGAGGCUGGAGCAGGUGAGAUGGGGUCUGCCCAUAGGAGUGGCAAUCAAGAGGGAUGGUGUGAAGCCUGCUAGGCCAAGUGACAGGAGGCCAUCAGUGAGUGCCGUUUCAGGGAAAAAAACUGAAGAGUCCAUUAAUCCAAUCAUUCUCAGUCUUCCAAUUAACAACUAUCUCAACUAUUUACUGAACAACUGCUAUGUGCCAAGUGCUGUUUCAGAUGUUAGGAAAAGACAGUCUGCUUCACCAUGAAGCUUCAGUUCUCUUAGGGGAGACAAAUGGAUUUAUCCUCUGUUGUUAGUUAAUGAAGUGCCACACAGAAAAAUAAGGCAGGAUAAGGGCAUUGAGACUGAGGAAACCUGCUGCUUUCUUCUGGGGAGUUCCGGUGGGACUGUGUGAUGAUGUGGUACCUGAGCACAGAGGGAGAGGACCCGAUGAGACAGAGCCCCUCCGGUAGGAGUUUGCUUAGCCCACUGAAAGAGUUGCAAGAAGGCCAGCCUGCUCUUGUUGAAUGAAGAAGGGAAACAGUGAUACAUAGUGAAGGUAGGGAAGUUACUGAGGAUGCCAUUACGUAGGGCCUCAUUUUUGAGUGAUUUGAGGGGAGCCACAUGAAGAUAGUGUGCAGUGAGUGAUAGGAGUUGAUUAAUACUUUGCAGAGAACAUGCUAGAUAGAUGCCUGACCCGGGGGUAGGGAGAGGAAAGGGAUAAAUAAGAGUAGAAGCAAGCACACAGUUAGGAAGCUAAUAGAGAAAUCCAAGCUAAUAGAGAUAAAAGUAGCUUGGACCGGGGUGGUAGCAGAAAAUGAUGUAUGAAGCAUUCAAUUCUGGGAUAUGUUGAAGAUAGAGCUAUUGGGAUUUGGGAGUGGUUUGUUUGUAAUAUGUGAGAGAAAGAGGAAUCGAGGACAGUUUCAACAGAAGCCUGAACAAAAUGUUGGUGCCAUUUUGUUGAGUACAGAUGGCAGGGGAAAAACAAGGUUGUAGGAGAAGAAUUAAGUUUGGUUUGAAAUCUGUUGAGUUCGAAAUGUCUAAGUGGAAUUGUAACUGGAGUUCAAAAGGAAGCUCAUGGCUGGAGACAGGAACUGGGGGGGGGGGGCUCUUUAGGAUACCGACUGUGUAAAGUCAUGGAACACACCAUGACAGGAGGAAGGAGGAGGGUCUGAGAGGUGUGAGGACUGAGCUGUGGUGGUCCCGUGUGUUAGUGCUGAGAAGUAGAAUACCUGAGGACUGAGAAUGCAUGACAGGGUUUAGUUUCAGUGGAGGUCACUGGUGACCUUGAAAAGAGCAAAUUGAUAGGAUGAUGGGAAAGAAAGCUUAACUGGAGUGAGUUCAGGAGAGAAUGAGGGACAAGAAAUUUGAGAAACUAAGUAGAAGCAGCUCUUUCACGAGUCCUCUGGAAGAGCAGAGAGAUAGGGAAGUUUCUGGAAAAGGCUGUGAAGUCAGAUGAGUUUUGAGGUGACGUAUAUCAGCACGUUUGUGUGCUGAUGAGAAUGACCUGGGUAAAGAGGAAGAUGCCAUUGAGAAAGAAUGGACAGAGAAGACAGUGGGUGAUUUCAGACCGUAUACCUUGAGGUGGCCACCUAAGAGUAAGAGCAGAGUAGGUCUUUGAGGGACAACAGCAGGUUCACCCCAUGUCAAAUAAGGGAAGGCACAUGUAGAAGUAGAUGCUUUCUCUGUCUCUCUCCCCAUAACACACACACACACACACACAUACACAAGUAUCCACAUAGAAGUAUAUCGAGCAACCACAAAACUCUGUAUUUGCUAUGGAUUGUUUCCUUUUCCAGAAAGAAGCUUUACUCUGCCUCAGGACCUAGGUUUGUUUGUUUGUUUUCCCCUCCCCAGUUUCAGGGACUCUCCCUCCUCUGACAGGUUUCUAGUCCUCAGAUCAGUGCUGACCAAACAACAUGGCAGAACCAGGAGAGCUGGCUGUUCUUGGAGUGCAGGGUACUAUAUACAUGGGGCAAAUGAAGAAAGGUAAAGCUGGUCUCUGCUGUGGCCCGGGAAGGCAGUGGAGGAUGGCCCAGGUGCUUGGGCCCUGCACCUGCAAGGGAGACCAGGAGCACCUGGCUCCUGGCUUUGGAUCGGCGCAGCGCCGGCUGUAGCAGCCAUUUAGGGGGUGAACCAACAGAAGGAAGACCUUUCUCUCUGUCUCUCUCUCUCUCUCUCUCUCACUCUCACUGUCUAACUCUGCCUGUCAAAAACAAAACAAAACAAAACAAAAGGUAAAGUUGGAACAGUGUGGGGGAGGGAGUGGGGGCAGGGACAGAUUAGGAAGAACUAAGGAGUUUGGUUCUCAUUCUGUGGACCCAGAGGAACUACUGAUGGAGAGUAGUUUGGGAAGGGCCCGACCUUGCCAGGAGGAGCUGGCUUUGACGGUGGAAACCUGAGGGCGGGAGGACGUUCCGAGGGCCAGAUGAGCAAAGUGUGUGUGUUUAUGGCCAUCUAUUUUUUUUGGGGGGGUUAACACCAUACCCUUCUGAAAUUAAAUAAAUUCUUUUAGAAGACUGAAUAAAAUAAAUUCAAGAAGCAAUGAAGCAAAAACGCUUUUAGCUACCCAGCAGUGACUGAUUUCUCAAUACAUCGAAUCAUUAAUGGGAUGGAAGAUUGGGGCCUUCGUGUGCGGUAGAAGAGGAAACAGAUAUGAGUGGGAGAAAAUGUGAACUCUGUUGGAACCGAAACAAUCUCAUUAGUUACUUUUAAUAUCCAUAGACUUUCCGCAGGGAGAGUUGAUGUCUUGUAACAGAUGAAGGAGGAGAGCCCUGGCUUUUCCACACCCAGGGAGUUAAUGAUAGGCUCAGGCUUUAAGUGGUGUCCUUGAAUUUCCAGUUCUUUACUUGGUCCCUGGACUGAAGCAAAGUGAUAAAUCUUGACUAUAAGCCACUUGCAGGAUUAGACAUAUCAGCUAGUCUUCAGUGUUUGGGGCCAAAGUGUUUCAACAUCUCUACAGUUUAAGGUGGGAAUUAUAUGACUACCAACACCAGGGGAGGUGUCACACGUACAGUUAGCCAUUAAGGUCUCAUCUUAAGGCCCUCCAUGGAAGAAGGCCUCUCAUCGGCAUGUAUGUAGUUAAUGAGUGGGACAGGAGCCUCUGCAGGUGCACCACUGAGGCAGUCUCACCCUGGCAGGGGUGCAGCAUUGUUAGAGUGGGUGUAAACACUGAUUGUAAGACGCAGUCACGCUGCCAACAUUGGGGUGGGGAGACUGGAAGAGGAGAAAGUAUGUCUUAGAAUUGGAAGUUAACUGGCUCCACUUUUCGUAUAACAGUGUAUUGUGGGAAAGCUUACACAUUGAAAGCACAUCUAUAUUUUGUUUGAGGUCAGUUUUAAGAGCAUUUUACUGACAAGCCUGACACCAUAGAUUGCUUUUAGGAUUAAAUGAGAUAAUAAUAUGAUUAUAUUUCUCUUAAUAGACCUCCCAGGGAGCAAUAGGUAUUUUAAAGUAUUUCCAAUCGUAAAAUGUUACCUUUAACAUGGUAAUUUUUUUAUAAUAGUAUCUCCAAAUACUUUUGAACUCUUUCUGGUUGUCAAAAGGUUACUUUUUAGUUAAUAACAUCUUUCUGCUAACAGAAGACAUAAGCUUUUAAAUUGUUAAUAUACAGAAAAACAAAUGAAUGUCUACGUGAGUGUGGCAGUAGCUCAGUGAUACAGAGAGAACUCUUCUCACCUACAGACCUGUCCUGUUCACUAGCUGUUUAUAACCCAUGACAAAUGCUAUGGAGGUGAUUGCUAAUGUUUAUUGAAUCCCAGUAUGAGCCAGAGUGUGUUCUAAGUAUUAAACAUUUAAGCCUUCUAGCAACCCUGUGAAUUUGGAACUUUUACUAUUCCUUUAUAUGGAGGAAAGAAAACUGUGUCAUUAUGAUAAGCAAGACAACUUCGAAAAGUGUAUGGAAAAGUUAAAAAAUGAAUUUCUUUUAGUGCAAAAGAAAUUUUGAAGUCCAUGCAUAGAUAUCAAGUAUCUUUUUGAAAAAUUUAUUUAUUUGAGAGGCAGAGAAAGCUAGCCCCCAUCUGUUUCACUCCCUAAAUGCCUGCUACAGCUGGGGAUAGGUGUGACCAAAAGUCAGGAGCCAGCAACGUAGCCUGGUUUUCCCAUGUGAACAGCAGGAAACCAAUUACUUGAGCCAGCAUUACUGCCUCCUGGUAUCUGCACUAGCAGGAAACUGGAAUCAGGAGUUGGAGCCACAAGUUGAACCAAUAUGGUAGAUGGACAUCUUAACCACUAGGCUAAAGUCCUGUGUUGAUAUAGUAUUUUUCAUCAUAUGCAUUUUCCAUUAAUGUUGAGAAGAUUCUUCAUAUAUAUCUAGGUUUUUUUCCAUGGUAACUGGCUCAUAACUCCCUCUACAAGGCAGGCCAUAGAAACUCAAAGAGGAUGUUAGGAGAUCACCUCCUUCCAGAGGAGUCCUGCCCGUAUCUUCCAGGAAAGAAUGCUGGCAGGUCUUGCUUGCUCCUACAUGGGGAAAACCUCAUGCAUCUGGUGUCAGAAGUGAUCCGUGUCGACAGGGUAUAGUAGGAAAAUCCAAGUCCAGCUUGGUUUGUCCUAAACACAAAAACUGAAGCCUACACACCCAGUUGGUAAAUGGUAGGGUGAGAUUUGAGCGUACUACCUGACUCCAGAGUGUGUGCCCUUAACCACUAUGCUGUAGAGUCUCUUUCUGAUACGAUUCAGAUCCUUUUCUUCCUUUCUGAAAGAGCUUGGAUUUCUUUGGUUGUUUACCCGACCCUGUGUGUCUCAGAGGAGGCAAAUCCAACCCACAUCUCCAUGAGUUCAUCCUAGUCCAUCUAAGCCAAUCAUGGUGUCCCAUUUCCCUGCUUGCAAGGAUUUGGUUUUGACAAGAUUUGACAAGAUUCUGGCCGAGUGCAUAUGAGGAGUAACUUUCUGUGGGCUUCUGAGAAAGGUUUUUUCCCCCAAAAGAAAUAGACACACAUGGAAGGACACCUCUCUUCCUCCCCUGACCUUGUCACAUCUGGACAUGAUUCUUGGCAGUGUGGCACUGUCCUGGCACCAGCCUGAAAGUGAAGCCAGCACUCUGAAUAAGAUACAGCCAAGAAAAGAUUGGAGAACCUUGACUUAGAAACACCCAGAGGCACUCAUCCUAGUGCUUCUCAUUAUGUGAGGGAAUAAGAAUAAGACCCACAGUGUUUAGGACAGUUUGAGUUGGAUUUUUUUAUGUUUUUAACUUAUUUAUUAGUUUAUUUCUUGGCUUUAUUUUUAUUAUUGAUUUGAAAGGCAGACUGACCAUGGUGGGGGAAGAGAGGGAACUUUCCAUCCACUGGUUUACUCUGCAGUUGUCUGCAACGGCUGGCAAUGGACUGAGUGGAAGCAGGAGCCUGGAAUUCCAUCUGGGCUUCCCACAUGGGUGGCAGGGGCCCAAGUACUUGACCCAUCUGCUGCUGCUUUCCCAGGCACAGUAGGGAGCUGGUCUGCAAGCAGAGCAGACAGGACUGAAAGGGCGCUGGGAUGUGGGCAUGUCAAGAGGUGGCUUAACUGCUGUGCCCCAUGCCUGUCCCCACAUCCCAUAUUGGAGUGCCCGGUUUGAGUUCCAGCUCUGCUUCUGAUCCAGCUUCCCACUGAUGCACACCCUGGGGGGCAGCAGAUGGUGGCUCAAGUACUUGGUUCCUUGCCACCCAUAUGGGGAUCUCUCCCUGUCUCUGUCUUUUAAAUAAAAUAAAAAUAAAUAAAUUGGAAAAUAUUUAAAAAUAAUAGGGGUGGCUUGAAUCCCACAUCAGAGAUUCUGAUUAAAUGGAUCUGGAGUGGAAGUCUGGUUAGCAAUACUUUUUAAUUUUUUUUUUUAAGUUUUCCUGGUGAUUCUGAGUUGACAGGGUGAAUUGCAGUAGCAUUCGACCAUAAUUCGAUGCUGGAAGUCUGGCAGAGGCUGUCUCAGGCUUCCUGACUUGAGAUGUUGAGAGGUUUGGAUAGGCCAGCUUGCAAGAAGGGUGGCUUGAAGUUGCGCACAGGGAAGGGACAGGUGCGGAUGAGCACUGCUCUGCCAAGUUCAGUUUGAGUUGACAGUGGGGUCUGAGAUCAUGGCAGCUCUUGGCCAAGUUUUCCACAGACCUAAGCAAGCUGGAAAUCAGAGAGUAGAGUGUCAGUGUGGCCUGCAGACCACUUGGGAUCCCUUCCCCAAGUUUAAACGCAGGUGCUUGGGCAGUUUCAGAAGAAAAAGCAGUGAAACCAUUUUCUUCACAUAGAUUUUAAUAAUUAGAAGUGACAGUAGGUAUGAAUGUCACAGAAUCCUGUUCUUAAUCAUUUUUGUCUUCUUAUUGUGCUCACACUAUAAAGACUUUCUUGGCUAAUAUGUAGUCAACUGAGUACAGCUCAUCACGGCUGACGUAUCUUACACUAGCUUCUGUUGUUCACAUGAGUUUUCCUGUAUUAGAAAUCAGUUUUAAAAAUGGCUCAUUGGUAAAGGGCAAAAGUAGAGGUAGAACAAGUCAAGUAAAUGUUUUAGCUCAUAAAAAUGUGUGGAGCUGGAGAGUCAGUGUGUAGCCUAGUGGUUAAGGCACACAUGACCGACAUUGGAGUGCCUGGAUUUGAUAUCCACCUGCAGCUCCUGAUGCUGGCUUUCUGUCAGAUACAGAGCCAGGGAGGCGGAAAUAAUGGCUCAAGCAAUUGGGUUCCACCCACUUAGAUAGGGUUGUAUUCUCUGCUCCUGGCUCAGUCCCAACCCAGCCCUAGGCAUUGUGGGAAUGUGAGAAGUGAACCAGCAGAUAGGAACUCUUUCUCCCUCUCUCUUUCUCUGUCCUUCUGUCUUCCUCUCCUUUUCUUCCUGCCUUGUAAAUAUAUUUUUAUUUAAAAAUAUUAGAACUAUAAAUACGAAUAGGACACUGGUUUAAAUAUAGAGUAUGGAUGAGACAAAUGAUUGCUUGAGUAGGAGGAUUUAAUAUAAGCAGCCAACAAACAAAAGAAAAAAAAAUGCUGAUGAAUUUCUGAUAUUAGAUUUUAUUGAACUAGCAGUCUGUUCAACCUUACUUCACUGUGUACUGUGUCCUUUUAUUAAAUAGAGGCAGGAAGUCAUUGACGAUUUUCUGUUUUUUUUUUUUUU